CCCCUCUCAGGGACGCACCUGGAGAGUUUCCAGUACUCUACCAGUCUCAACUAUUGGAGGGAGAGGCAAGCAGAGGCCUACUCAUUCCAUUCCUAGCUGGGACAGCGGCUAGCGAGCGGAAGGCAAUCUGCUACGAGU